UGGGGAAUAUUGGACAAUGGGGGCAACCCUGAUCCAGCCAUGCCGCGUGAGUGAUGAAGGCCUUCGGGUUGUAAAGCUCUUUUGGCGGGGACGAUGAUGACGGUACCCGCAGAAUAAGCCCCGGCUAACUUCGUGCCAGCAGCCGCGGUAAGACGAAGGGGGCUAGCGUUGUUCGGAAUUACUGGGCGUAAAGCGAGUGUAGGCGGUUGCCGUAGUCAGGUGUGAAAGCCUUGAGCUCAACUCAAGAAAUGCACUUGAUACUGGGUGACUAGAGGACCGGAGAGGAUAGUGGAAUUCCCAGUGUAGUGGUGAAAUACGUAGAGAUUGGGAAGAACACCAGUGGCGAAGGCGGCUAUCUGGACGGUUACUGACGCUAAGACUCGAAAGCGUGGGGAGCAAACAGGAUUAGAUACCCUGGUAGUCCACGCCGUAAACGAUGGGUGCUAGACGUUGGCGAGCUUGCUCGUCAGUGUCGCAGCUAACGCGUUAAGCACCCGCCUGGGGAGUACGGCCGCAAGGUUGAAACUCAAAUGAA
rnacentral:rRNA from 1 species